rfam:Triticum aestivum genome assembly, contig: Triticum_aestivum_CS42_TGACv1_scaffold_161948_2DL
UGAGUACUCCCUCCGUCCGGAAUUACUUGUCAUUAAAAUGGAUGUAUCUAGAACUAAAAAACACCUAGAUACACCCAAUUCAAUGACAAGUAUUUCCGGACGGAGGGAGUACAUA